rnacentral:rRNA from 1 species
UACGGAGGGGGCUAGCGUUGUUCGGAAUUACUGGGCGUAAAGCGCACGUAGGCGGCUUUGUAAGUUAGAGGUGAAAGCCUGGAGCUCAACUCCAGAACUGCCUUUAAGACUGCAUCGCUUGAAUCCAGGAGAGGUGAGUGGAAUUCCGAGUGUAGAGGUGAAAUUCGUAGAUAUUCGGAAGAACACCAGUGGCGAAGGCGGCUCACUGGACUGGUAUUGACGCUGAGGUGCGAAAGCGUGGGGAGCAAACAGGUAUUAAGCAA